CAUUUAAAGAGUGCGUAAUAGCUCACUAGUCGAGUGACACUGCGCCGAAAAUGUACCGGGGCUAAACAUAUUACCGAAGCUGUGGAUUGUCCUUUGGACAAUGGUAGGAGAGCGUUCUAAGAGCGUCGAAGCAUGAUCGCAAGGACAUGUGGAGCGCUUAGAAGUGAGAAUGCCGGUGUGAGUAGCGAAAGACGGGUGAGAAUCCCGUCCACCGAUUGACUAAGGUUUCCAGAGGAAGGCUCG
rnacentral:rRNA from 1 species